rnacentral:rRNA from 1 species
AGAGUUUGAUCCUGGCUCAGGAUGAACGCUGGCGGCGUGCUUAACACAUGCAAGUCGAGCGGAGAUAUUAAAACGGAAGGUUUCGGCCGGAAGUUUUGAUAUUUUAGCGGCGGACGGGUGAGUAACGUGUGGGCAACCUGCCCUGUACUGUGGAAUAAUCACUGGAAACGGUGACUAAUACCGCAUGUCAUUGCGAGAGGGCAUCCUCUUGCAAGAAAAGGAUUUAUUCGGUACAGGAUGGGCCCGCAUCUGAUUAGCUAGUUGGUGAGAUAACAGCCCACCAAGGCAACGAUCAGUAGCCGACCUGAGAGGGUGAUCGGCCACAUUGGGACUGAGACACGGCCCAAACUCCUACGGGAGGCAGCAGUGGGGAAUAUUGCACAAUGGGCGAAAGCCUGAUGCAGCAACGCCGCGUGAAGGAAGAAGGGUUUCGGCUCGUAAACUUCUAUCAACAGGGACGAAAAAAAUGACGGUACCUGAAUAAGAAGCCCCGGCUAACUACGUGCCAGCAGCCGCGGUAAUACGUAGGGGGCAAGCGUUAUCCGGAAUUACUGGGUGUAAAGGGAGAGUAGGCGGCAUGGUAAGUUAGAUGUGAAAGCCCGAGGCUUAACCUCGGGAUUGCAUUUAAAACUAUCAAGCUAGAGUACAGGAGAGGUAAGUGGAAUUCCUAGUGUAGCGGUGAAAUGCGUAGAUAUUAGGAAGAACACCAGUGGCGAAGGCGACUUACUGGACUGAAACUGACGCUGAGGCUCGAAAGCGUGGGGAGCGAACAGGAUUAGAUACCCUGGUAGUCCACGCCGUAAACGAUGAGUGCUAGGUGUCGGGGGGGGGAACCCUCGGUGCCGCAGCUAACGCAAUAAGCACUCCACCUGGGGAGUACGAUCGCAAGAUGAAACUCAAAUGAAUUGACGG